rnacentral:rRNA from 1 species
GACAGCCCCGUACACAAAAGCGCAUGUGCUGUGAGCUCGAUGAGUAGGGCGGGACACGUGGUAUCCUGUCUGAAUAUGGGGGGACCAUCCUCCAAGGCUAAAUACUCCUGACUGACCGAUAGUGAACCAGUACCGUGAGGGAAAGGCGAAAAGAACCCCGGCGAGGGGAGUGAAAAAGAACCUGAAACCGUGUACGUACAAGCAGUGGGAGCACCCUUUGGGGUGUGACUGCGUACCUUUUGUAUAAUGGGUCAGCGACUUAUAUUCUGUAGCAAGGUUAACCGUAUAGGGGAGCCGUAGGGAAACCGAGUCUUAACCGGGCGUUAAGUUGCAGGGUAUAGACCCGAAACCCGGUGAUCUAGCCAUGGGCAGGUUGAAGGUUGGGUAACACUAACUGGAGGACCGAACCGACUAAUGUUGAAAAAUUAGCGGAUGACCUGUGGCUGGGGGUGAAAGGCCAAUCAAACCGGGAGA